rnacentral:lncRNA from 1 species
UUUUUUUAAAGGACACAGAGACACGAAGAACAGGAAACAACCUCACAGGCACUGACGUCCACAUCUGGAGAGGCUGAGCUGCCAGCAAAAACUCUUUGUCUACGAACGGUACACCUAUAGAGACAAGAGCUCUGAGGAUUCCAUCCCAGCAAAGAACAGUCAGGGAAAGACAGGAUUCUCAAAGGAGUAGCUCAGAAGGGCACACUCCUAACAAGGGCAUUGUGGUGCUCCCGAGAGCUCUCUGGAGAAGAGGGUCUUCAUACUCAGCUCAGAAGACGUUCUCCCUUCCAGUGACCAAGUCAGCCAUCGCCGUCUUCCCUGGCUCACCACCCAUCACUGAUUCACUGGAAAAUGUGAGAAAUUACUUAAUAAAGAACUGCCCUGGGGAAAUGGACAGGUAAUAGGCUUUAAAGAAAUAAUUUAAUCUCAUGCUUCGUUUAGUAAGAACUAUGUCCACAGUCCUGCCACCAGCAAGAAAAAUAAACAGCAGAUAAGCAGGGAUGGGGAUGAACAGGCUGCCAGAGGAGCUUUCUGGUUAAGUGACGUUUUCCUCUCUGUGUAUAAGUGGAGCCAUGCCGAGGAAAGCCAUGCCCUCUACAGUGAGGCAGGCCCUGGGACUCAGACCAGCCUGAUGGCAAUCAUAGAACUAGUGUGAGCCAUGUGACUUUGGGAAAAUGAUUUCAUGCUUCGGUAUUCCACGCAAGGAAAGGAGGUGACAAUGUACAUUUAACUUUUUCCAUGUGUGUACGCGUAUGUGUGUGCAUGUGUGUACAUGUGUGUACAUGUAUGUAUGUUCCAAGGGUCAGGCAUUAUACUAAAUGUGGUAGACAAGACUGAGCAUUAUUUAGGAACUCUGCAGGCUACAGGGACAGAGCAAGAAGAAGGAAUGGCAGGGGAGGGGCCAGUUGAGAACAAGUCUGGAAAACAUUUUUUGGUAAGGCGUGCAACUGGCAAUGGAUGGCGUGGCUCAGAAUUCCUGGAUGGGUGGAUUCCUGUCCUGCUGAUAACUUCUGUCUCCUUUCAGCCUCCUAGAACAAGAGCCAAACAUAAAUCAAAGUUGCACUAAAUGGAGGCCUUAGGCAAAAGGUGGGCUGCAGUAUGAUACAGACUCUAAGCUUAAUAAGGCUUCCUGCCUGUCCCUAUGUCUACUCCAAGGUUUAUGAACCCACCAGCUUCAGGCUGGAACUAUGUGAAAGAAACUCAGACAGAUAGAAAAGGCCACAGAAGCAAGUCUGCAGAGUAAGAUGGGCAGCUAGGUGACAGGAGACACAUGACAACACCCUGCCCACUUCCCUAGGAGGCCAGAUCCUACAUCACCAUUAGCCAAUAUUUCAGUUGCUGCUUCUUUAGGAACUUCCCCAUAGGAUGGGCCAAAGAUCACCCUGCACAGUCCUCUCCCCUAACGGAGCAAGGGGAAGAGUCUGGAAACUUCCUGGGGAGGUUGAAGGCUGGUGAGACAGGGGAAUUACAAGGUGUGGUUUGUAUCUUUCUAGCCUUUUUCUCCCAAGACUGACCAGGGUGACCAUGAAGAACACAAGCCUGAACCUGCCCCAGGCCAGCUGAUAGGGUGACUGACUUACCUGGGAUACAAUGAGUACCUGCUGCAACUAAGCCACUCCAGCUCCCAGCCCUGAUCGCUUCAGCACCAUUUUCUUGGAUUAAAUGGAGUUUGACCUCAUAGUCACUGUGUAUCAGAGGUGAGGUUAGACCAGUGCAGGUAAAAUGGGAACCGGCCAGCUGCCUUGCGUUCCUCCAUCUCCUCCCAGCUUCGAAGGCUGAGGCAUUUCCUUCUCAGGUGAAAGUCCCUCUCCCUCUCCCCCUCUCCCUCCCCCUCCCACUCCC